GCGUGGGAGACGGCUUGGUUGUAACCUUGGGAGAGACGUCCCGAAAAGCGCCGGUAACUCUGCCACGCCCGUACAGGCGCAGCUUACCGGAAUUAUUGGGCGUAUCGUAGGGUCGCGUCGGUGAAACCCCAGCUACCUGGCUGCACGGAGCUGAGUGCGGGGAUUGGAAUCCGUGUACGGUGAAUGCGCAAUAUGGAGAACACCGUGCAAGGCCUGCGGUGGGGAGCAAACAGGCUUAGAUACCCUGGUAGUCCACCCCGUAACGUUGAACUAGUGUGUGCCAUAACGCAUUAAGUCGCCUGGGGUCGGCCGCAAGGCAAAAAGGAUGACGGGCGCAAGCGGCGGAUGGGAUAAUUCAACAGAACUCGCUGACGUACGGUGAUGC
rnacentral:rRNA from 1 species